rnacentral:rRNA from 1 species
AGUGAACGCUGGCGGUAGGCCUAACACAUGCAAGUCGAACGGCAGCACAGUAAGAGCUUGCUCUUACGGGUGGCGAGUGGCGGACGGGUGAGGAAUACAUCGGAAUCUACUUUUUCGUGGGGGAUAACGUAGGGAAACUUACGCUAAUACCGCAUACGACCUACGGGUGAAAGCAGGGGAUCUUCGGACCUUGCGCGAUUGAAUGAGCCGAUGUCGGAUUAGCUAGUUGGCGGGGUAAAGGCCCACCAAGGCGACGAUACGUAGAUGGUCUGAGAGGAUGAUCGGCCACACUGGAACUGAGACACGGUCCAGACUCCUACGGGAGGCAGCAGUGGGGAAUAUUGGACAAUGGGCGCAAGCCUGAUCCAGCCAUACCGCGUGGGUGAAGAAGGCCUUCGGGUUGUAAAGCCCUUUUGUUGGGAAAGAAAAGCAGCAGGUUAAUACCCCGCUGUUCUGACGGUACCCAAAGAAUAAGCACCGGCUAACUUCGUG